UACGGAGGGUGCAAGCGUUGUUCGGAAUUAUUGGGCGUAAAGGGCGCGUAGGCGGUAAUGUAAGUCAGAUGUGAAAUACUCCGGCUCAACCAGAGAACAGCAUCUGAAACUGCAUAACUAGAGUACAGAAGAGGGGAACGGAAUUCCCGGUGUAGAGGUGAAAUUCGUAGAUAUCGGGAGGAACACCAGUGGCGAAGGCGGUUUCCUGGUCUGAUACUGACGCUGAGGCGCGAAAGCGUGGGGAGCAAACAGGAUUAGAUACCCGCGUAGU
rnacentral:rRNA from 1 species